UACGUAGGGUGCGAGCGUUAAUCGGAAUUACUGGGCGUAAAGCGUGUGCAGGCGGUUUUGUAAGCCCGAUGUGAAAUCCCCGGGCUUAACCUGGGAAUGGCAUUUGGGACUGCAAGGCUGGAGUGUGGCAGAGGAGACUGGAAUUCCUGGUGUAGCAGUGAAAUGCGUAGAUAUCAGGAGGAAUACCGAUGGCGAAGGCAGGUCUCUGGGCUGACACUGACGCUCAUGCACGAAAGCGUGGGGAGCAAACAGG
rnacentral:rRNA from 1 species